rnacentral:lncRNA from 1 species
AGGAAUAUUGUUGCAACUGUACUUAAUUCUGAUGGUUGGAAUGAUGGUGGUGGAGGAAGGAAUGCAUGAAUAUAAGGCUCAAAGUUUGAGCCAACUUAUCCAUUAUGGAUAAUGAUCCAGAUAUAAAUAAAUCAAUUGAAUUUAAUUUUUUGAUAAAGAUAAAAUGGAUGACAUUACUUGAUUAUUAUUGUAUUUCAUUCUUUUACUACCUUUUUUAUACUUCUUAUACCC